UUUUAACAAAUUCUGCAUUUGCGGCAUUUUCGGGAGUGCUGCGUUCUUGCUUCUCUGUUGUUGUGUUCUUGCUUCUCUGCAUUUUUGUGUUCUUGCUUCUCUGCGUUGGUGUGUUCAGGUAUUAUUUUUCAAGUUUUUUAACUUAUUUGCUUCUAUAUAUGUUUCAUUUCAUACAUACUUAAGAUACUGUUUCACUAAAAAUUGUAAUGUUUGCUUCGAUUUGAUUUUUCCUCAACUUGUAUUUUAGUUAAAAAUUGAAAGGGUACUAUUACUACUAUAGUAGUAGUUUUAUUUUUUAAUUGUUACAGGUAUGUUGAUUUCAUUUGAAUUUAUACUUUUAAUUGUCAAUUUGGAAAACUCUAAAAUGUAUAUAAUAUAGUUUAUAGGGUUAAUGGUGCUUUAACCCCUGUAAUAUAGGUCAUUUUUGGUUUUCCCCCUGUAAAAUAUUUUUUUUUAUUUACCCCCUGUAAAAUAUAUUUUUUUUGGAAUACCCCCUAAUAGGUCAUAAAAAAACGAAGGGGUAAAUAAAAAAAAAAAUUACAGGGGGAAAACCAAAAAUGACCUAUAUUACAGGGGGUAAAGCACCAUUAACCCUAGUUUAUAUUUAGUUAAAUUCUUUUAUGAUGCAUUUCUUAGGUUUAUAAUUCCUUGUUGUAGUUAUUCCCUUAUAGGUUUAUGAUGCAUUUAUUUGCUAGGAUUGUCUCAUGGAGAUGCAAACAGUUACCCAAAGGAUAGUAGAGCACAAAUGCAUUCCUCUACAUCAAUUCAUACUCCAUGUCCUUUUUAGGUAACCAUAUAUAGAAAUAUUAUUGAUUAUGUUAUUGUAAUUGAGUUAAACUAGUUAAGUUUUGCUUGUUAAUAUAUGCAAAAAGUUGUUAGUAGUGACAUCACUUGGAAUGUAGGCAAAUGAAAUUGCGUGUGUAGGGUUUGGAUUUGAGCUGUGCGAAUUUAUGAUUACGUUUUUGGCUGAAUUGUUUAAGAUGUGUGUGCAGGGUCGGAUUCUGUUUGUGUUGCAAAACUUUAUGCAUAUAUUUUGUUUUGCCUGUUAAUAUACAUGCAAAAAGUUGUUAGUAGCGACAUCUCUUGGAAUGUAGGCAAGUGUCUGAAAUUGUUAACUUACGUGUGUAUGGUCUAAAUUAGAGUUGUGCAAAUUUGUGAUUACGUUGUUUGGCUGAAUUGUUUAAGAUGCGUACCCAAUGUUGGAUUUUGAUUGUGUUGCAGAAUUUUAUGCAUAAAUUUUGUUUCUACAAUUUGGGGUGUUUGUGCGAAUUUGUGAUUUAUUUUUCUGCAUUUUGUAUUUGUUUAUGUGUUCCAUAACAUGGCAUAAGUUACAGGAACUUAAAAAUGGGCUUUUAUGAUAGAAUAAGGAAGGGAAAUGUGUAAAACAAAUUUCCUAUUUGCGGUUAUGUUGAGUGUGUUUUACUUGUUGUUUUAGUUUUUAUUUGUGUAAGGUAUAACACUUGUUGAUGUAUUGACCGUACUUUGAACCAACAAUAUCUAUUGUUGAUGUAUUUUUUUGUUCUUAUGCAGCAAGGUAUCAAUGAAGAUGUUGAAAAGGAUGACAUAGAUGAGGAAUUUUAAGAGGAAGACAUAAAUGAUGAAUUUCUUGAGGACAACAUAGGUGAUGAAUUUCAGGAGGAUGAUAUAGAUGAUAAAUUUCAAUAGGAUUGCCUAGAUGAUGAAAUUCAAGAGGAUGACAUCAGUGAUGAAUUUGAAGUGGACGAAUUGGAUGAUGAAUUCCAAGAUAAACAUGAAUGAUCGAGUUGGAUGAUGUUUUAUUUUGGAUUAUAGUUAAACCAUUAAACUUGACCAAACUAUAGUUUUGUUAUUUUGCUAGGCUUAUACUUCGAAGCAUUAAACUUAUCAAGUAAUGUUCGUCAUUUUGAUUACUUGACCAAACUAUAGUUUUGUUCAAUUAAUGUUUGAACUAUUUUAUUAUAUUAUAUAUUUUGAGGAUGUUUUGCUAAAUUCGAUUC
rnacentral:lncRNA from 1 species